AGUGAGCGCUGGCGGUAGGCCUAACACAUGCAAGUCGAACGGCAGCACAGUAAGAGCUUGCUCUUACGGGUGGCGAGUGGCGGACGGGUGAGGAAUACAUCGGAAUCUACUUUUUCGUGGGGGAUAACGUAGGGAAACUUACGCUAAUACCGCAUACGACCUACGGGUGAAAGCAGGGGAUCUUCGGACCUUGCGCGAUUGAAUGAGCCGAUGUCGGAUUAGCUAGUUGGCGGGGUAAAGGCCCACCAAGGCGACGAUCCGUAGCUGGUCUGAGAGGAUGAUCAGCCACACUGGAACUGAGACACGGUCCAGACUCCUACGGGAGGCAGCAGCGGGGAAUAUUGGACAAAGGGCGCAAGCCUGAUCCAGCCAUACCGCGUGGGUGAAGAAGGCCUUCGGGUUGUAAAGCCCUUUUGUUGGGAAAGAAAAGCAGCAGGUUAAUACCCCGCUGUUCUGACGGUACCCAAAGAAUAAGCACCGGCUAACUUCGUG
rnacentral:rRNA from 1 species